ensembl:lncRNA
UUUUUUUUUUUUUUUUUUUUAAGAUGAAGUGUCGCUCUGUUGCCCAGGCUGGAGUGCAGUGGUGCAGUCUCAGGUCCCUGCAACCUCCGCUUCCCAGGCUCAAGCCCUUCUCCUGCCUCAGGUUUCCGAGUAGCUGGGACUACAGGUGUGUGCCACUACAUCUGGCUAAGUGUUGGUAUCUAUUGAAUAUUGCCUUUUAAAUUCAGAUUGAGGUUUUUCUGGAUCUUGGUAUGACAAGUGAUUUUCUAUUGAAACUUGGACAUUUCUAUUUCUCAUUCUUGUUUAAACCUUCUCUUUUAGCUGACUUUGACACCACUCUAGCAAGGGAAGAGGAAAUAGCAUAUUGCUGCCAGGUUGGGGGUCAAAGCCCAGUUUCCCCCCCUGCCUCCACUGAUACCUGAGGUGGGAGGCUGCUUGUUACUGCUGGGAUGCCAUGGGACUCCCAGCUGCCCCUGUGGUUUCCACUGACUCCCCAGGCGGGAGCAGCUGCACAAUCCCUGGGUGCUGGUGAGCGUUCUGCCUCCUCACCAGGCCCCUCUGACACCACGCAUGAGGUUGUUGGGCACCUCAUUAUACCUGUGUGAGGGUCGAGGUCUUGGCCUCUGCUGAUCUGGGCGGGGCCUCAUUUUUGCUGUGGUGUUCGGCUGGAGUAGAGCAGUAAUUUAUUGUCUGAAUUUUCUGUCUUGCUAAGCUGCCCCUUUCCUAGUCCUCUGGUUGGAAAGAACAGGUUUUUGUGCCCACGGGUGUUUCCACUGGGGGUUUUAAUUGUACUUAGUGGGAAGAACAGGGAAAAGAGCAUCUACUGAUCUUCCGAGACACAGGCGUUAGUUUACUUUUGGUAGCUGUUGUCAAGGUGUCCAUGUUACAUGUGGUGCACACGUUGCUUUCCAUUGUUUCUUUUUCUUAAGGGUGCAUUUUGCUAUGCAGAAAUGUUUGGUUUUUAGAGACUCAAAUAUAUUAAUCCUUUUUAAAAAAUGGAUUCAGGGUUUUAUAACAUGUUUGGAAAGGCCUUUCUCAAACCAAGCUUAUAUAUUUAAAAAAAAAAAAAACCUCCCAUUUUUUUCUAGCUUUAAGGUUUUAUUUUAUUUUAUUUUUUUACAUUUAAAUAUGUGAGCCAUCUGGAAUUUAUUCUGGCAUAAGUUGGAACAGGAAUCUCCCUGUACUCCCUCCCUCUUGGCUACCCAAUUGUCCCAGCUCCAUUUACUGAGUAAUAAAUAUUUUACGGUGUUAGGAAAAUUCUGUUUGGUAAAUGGUUGUUUAUAAUAGCGUUCCUAACAGCUGAGUCCUGAAAAAAGUGGUCUCAAAGUCCUGGAGGCCGCACGGAGGAAGGCAGGGGUCAGCCUUGAGCUUUCCUCGUUGUUAGUUGAUGACAGUGGGUGCAGUGUGAGCCCCAGGCUGAACUGCAGGACACACUAGAUGGUCAGCCUGUCCCUAUCUGUGGGACUUGGAUACCCUCUGGGUUCAGGAAGCCAGGGGUGGCCAUGGCUGACUAGAGGGUGUUUUGAGCUGCCUUGGAAAGUGCUCCAGCUUGAAAGUUCUUCCUCCUCUAUGGCCUGGUCAUUGCUGAGGGUUGAUCUAUCCCAAUUUUCAGUAGUAAUAGCCCAGCUGCCUAGGAGCCUGAGCA